rnacentral:rRNA from 1 species
GACGAACGCUGGCGGCGCGCUUAACACAUGCAAGUCGCACGGUGAACGGGGCUUCGGCCUCGGGAUCAGUGGCGAACGGGUGCGUAACACGUGGGCAACCUGCCCCUCACUCUGGGAUAACCCCGGGAAACCGGAGCUAAUACCGGAUACUCCGACCGAGCCGCAUGGUUCGGCCGGGAAAGGUCCGCCGGUGAGGGAUGGGCCCGCGGCCUAUCAGCUUGUUGGGGAGGUAACGGCUCACCAAGGCGACGACGGGAGCUGGUCUGAGAGGACGACCAGCCACACUGGGACUGAGAUACGGCCAGACUCCUACGGGAGGCAGCAGUGGGGGAGUCUUGCGCAAUGGGCGAAAGCCUGACGCAGCGACGCCGGGCUGAGGGACGAAGGCCCUCGGGUUGUAAACCUCUUUCGGCAGGGACGAAGCGAUCGUGACGGUACCUGCAGAAGAA